AAUGAGAAAAAGCACUGCAGGCACAGUGGAGGGGGAAAGACAGGCUGAGAGGAGGCCGGGAAGAGGAAGCGCGAGAAGGAGAGACAGUGAGCGAGACUGAGCGAAAGCCUGGCUUUUUGGUAGGUGCAGCCUGCUUUCCAAAGCCCCUUCCAAAGUCCUCAGUGGGGGCUGAAAAAAGAGCAGUUUGCAUGCAUGUGCCCAGAACUGGAGCUGGAAGGGUCUACCUGUUUCAUACUCCACUGAAACAGCAGAGGAGCGUGGUAUCAUGGAGACUGAAGGCACCAAGGAGCAGAAGGAUAGCCAGAAGAUCAAUGGACUAGAGCGAAAGGAGGAGUCAAGAGAUGCUCUGAUUCAGUCUAAGGGAGAGAGCGAGGCAGGGAAAACAGAGGCUGCUGGGACUGGGGAUGAGCUUCAUGGAGAGAGUAAGGCAGAAAAAGAAGGGGCUGCUGGGAAUGAGACUAAGGGUGAUAAUGCACUCAAAGGAAAGGCUUCGGGGGCUGAGGAGGUACAGGGAUUUGAGGCCAAAGAGAAAGUGGAGGAAGCCAGCGAAACCGACAGGGCAGAGUCCGAGGAUAAAGUGGCCGUGGGUGUAUCUGGAACAGAGCCGAAAGAAGAAGCUGAUGUUUCUGCACCACCAAAAGAACUGCAGGAAGAGAAAGGAGGAAAAGCUGAUGCCUUGGAGAGAAAUACCAGCGUUUCCAGCAAAGAGAGUCGAACUGGCAGCACUUCAGAUGAGCCUUUCUCACCAGAACCAGAGGAGGAAGAAGAAUUCUGGCCAGAAUUCUCUCCAAGCUCACCUGAUGAGAGUCCACAGAGCCCCACAGAGUUCAAAAGCAUGGAGACAGGUGGCACUACUUCAGGCCCAGCUGCUCCGGAAGCUGCCACUGGGGAUACCACCAGCGCUGAAGGAGUCCCAAAGGGGGAUCAAGAGCAACAGCCAGCUCCUGAGGGAGCAGCCGUGGCCCAGGAGAAGAAGAAGAGGCCCACUUUUGACAGGAGGGAGCUAACAAGGCCCCGGAUGCCACCCAGAGCUCAGUCCCGCAAAGCCAUUAUGGAGAAGUUUGGAGGGGCUGCAACUGGUCCAGCUCCCAACAUCAAGAGGACGGGAGGUGCAAACACAGUGAAGACCAUGUUACUGGAAUGGUGUCGGGCCAAGACCCGUGGCUAUGAGCAUGUGGACAUCCAGAACUUCUCCUCCAGCUGGAGCAGUGGCAUGGCCUUUUGCGCUCUCACCCACAAGUUCUUUCCAGAUGCCUUUGACUAUGCUGCACUUGAGCCAGCAAAUCGCAGAGAGAACUUUAUUCUGGCCUUCUCCACUGCUGAGAAACUUGCUGAUUGUGCCCAACUUCUGGAUGUGGAUGACAUGGUGCGCAUGAGUGUUCCUGAUAACAAAUGCAUCUACACCUAUAUCCAAGAACUUUAUCGCAGCUUGGUGGAGAAAGGGCUGGUGAAGACCAAGAAGAAAUAAGAACAGAAGGCAGGCUUAUGCUUGAGGCUUACUGGAAACCAGAGGGAAGUCUGCUACCCCAGGAGAAGGCAACAUGGAAUGUACUCUGGGCAGGGGGUCUCUAUUCUGCCGUUUCCUGCACUGGAUUAAACCAAAGUGGCUUGGCUUUAUCACUUAAGUCUGCUGUACACCGGCUAUCUGCCAGUGUGCUUUUGAGAUGUGCAGGAAAGGGAUUAUUAUCUCUGUCCUGUAGGUGCUACUAGUCACCUUCACAGAUCUGGCCUCCAAGGAACGGAUAGCCUCUGUCCUAAACAAGCACGACUUGGAACAAGCAAGUCUCUCCAGAAGUCUACCAUCACCCAUUUCACAUCCUAUUCCCUUGGCUGCAAAUGCUGGCAAGCCCUCCUCCAACCCAUGCUGCAAUCAGGCUUCUCCUUGCAGAGCACCAGAACUAUUAAAGCACGACUGUUGCAAGUCCAA